AUGAUCUUCUCCAGCUGCUCUCACUAUGCGUUGCAGAGUCUUCCGGCAGGACGCGUUGCAGGCGCCAUACUACACAGUGAUGCAGCUGGUCAGAAUGCUCUCGAUGGUGUCUCUGUAGAAGGUGUACAUGAUGGGGUCUGGGGCUCUGGCUCUCCUCAGUUUGCGGAGGAAGUAGAGACGCUGCUGUGUUUUCAGUCCAGGUCCUCUUGUGACACUGUCACUGUGCAUGUGUCUUUAAGAAUUGUACGGUUGCUCUGGAAGGAGGAACAUAAAGAGAGCAGCAUGGCCAACACAGAGCUACUAAACUUACCUGGAUUGCGGAGUUUCCUUUGUGUGGACUUACCUACCCAGACGCGCUUGCAAGCUUUUGAAUCAUCACUCAUCUUGGACUGUAUACACUGCUGGACUCUCACUUUGGGACUCUUUUAGCACACUAGGAUUCUUGGACUGUUUUAGGGUAUGAUGCAAUGAACCGUAUGCUUUUAACAGUUUUCCUGGUUUUAUUGUGUGGUUUUAAAGUCCUGUGAACUUUGUAUAUACAUCUUUCUUACUAAACUGAUCUCUGCAUUGUCAUUCUUUUAACAACUACAAACCUCCCACACAGUAUAAUCUGACCCCAUUUUAAACGUUGUAACCCAGAAGAAAGUCUUCUAUACCUAGAAUGCCUUGAGGGUCAGUAAAUCAAUUAAAUCUUUUUAAAUUAAAUUAAAUUAAACUAAACAUUUUGGGUGAACUAUCCCUUUAAGUUACCAGUUGUCCUGAAAACGUUGUCAAAACUAAAGGAGAAAUAAAGCAGCUUUGCAUUUGAGAGCAUUUACAGUUUCUCAUCAACAAUGACACACUCUGAAUAAGUAGCUGAUCUGUCUCUAGUGUUGUUUUGUUAGGGUCUUUCUCACUACUUGUAGUAUGGGGCAGUACCUGCAGCCUAAUCAGGUUGUACAGGUCGUCCAGCUUCUCCAGGAUGGCACAUCCACAAGUGCUGUCGCAAGGAGAGCUGGACAGGACCACAGAAGAGCACCAACCAGAAUCUGCUCCUUUAACCCCUUAACUGUCACCGUCCCACCUGUGGGACGCUUGGCGCUCUUUUUUUUGUUGUCCUUUUUCUCUAUAAAAUCUUUUAGUAAUCAUCAUAAAUUAUAUAUCAUUUGAAAGCGUAGAAGCCCAAGAUUCAUCCUGUGAAAACCAUUUUGAAAUCGGACAUUGCGUUACCAUGGAAAUAGUAAUUUAAAAUCUUAUGGCGGUCUCCUCCCCUUAGUGGGCAGUGUCAAGUGUCAUAUUACAAAAUGCAUUACGGUCUUUUAGAAUCAAAACUUUUAUAAUCUUGGCAACAAACAUAUCAUUGGAAAGGUCUGAGUCUCAGGAUUCCAUUAAUAAUCUUGGCAACAAACAUAUCAUUGGAAAGGUCUGAGUCUCAGGAUUCCAUAUUUGGUGGUUAUUUUGAGUAUUGAAGUAAAAUAUACAGAGAAAUCUAGGGAAAAAUUCAUUAAACAAAAUUCAAAGGAGUUUUGAUGGCUCCCAGUGGCUGUUUGUGGUAUGACGCCCUAAAUAAAAUCUCACAGGAACCUCAAUUUUUUUCAUAUCAACUUCAAAUUUGGAACAUAACUUAUUUAGACACAAGGCUUUAAUUUUAUACCAAUUUUAGAGUAAAACCUGUUAUGUAAAAUAUUUAUAAUAAAUAAAAUAAAAUAAAAAUAAUAUAGCGCAUUUUAUUUACAGUACAUUUAAACUUCUAUAACUUUUUGAUACUUUAAUUUUUUGAAAAAAUUCCACUUUUGCCAAAAUCUGCUUCUUUAAAAAGAGACCAAGCUUAGGUCUAUAUUCCAAAGUGUUCAUAAAAUACAACAAUUUAAGUUUGGAUAGUGCACUUUAAUGCCUAUUUAAAAAAUGGGGGGUGACAGUUAAGGGGUUAAGCAGGAGCAGGAGGAGCACUGCCAGAGCCCUACAAAAUGACCUCCAGCAGGCGACUGGUGUACAGACUUCACGAGGGCCAGAUGUCCUGUAGUGGGACCUGUGCUCACAGUCCAGCACCGUGCAGCUUGAACACCAGAACACCAGGUCUGUGGAAGCGUCUAGAGAUGCUGUGGGGAAUGUUAUGCACGAGCGGUUUGGCAGUGGGUCAGUGAUGGUCUGGGGAGGAAUAUCCUUGGAAGGGUUGCCCAGACCUCCAUGUGCUAGCCAAUGGUUCCCUUACUGCUGUUAGGAACUGGGAUGAAAUCCUGGUGCUGUGGCCCUGGGUUUCCAGCCUCAUGUGUCCAGAGAGUGUAGGCAGCUUCUGGAUGAUGAAGGCCUUGUAGUGAACGGCACAUUCCAGGACCCCUCUCGGACUGCAACAGUGGACAGGUUUGCCACAUUUGGAUUGGAUCUUGGUGGACUAACAUGAGCAAACUGUUCAGCGCCAUCAGAUAAAGAUGCUCUUAGAGGGCAAGACGAUGACCUCUGGUACAAAGUCCAGGAAGGAGAGGACUUCUCACUGGUCCACAUGCAGUCAGUCUAGAGACCGAUUCCUAAGGUUUGGUCUGUGACCAGCAUAAAAACUGCAGCAGCAGAGAGGUCACAGAGAUCUAUCAAAUCCAUUUAGAACCGUUUUCAAACCUUAAAACUGAUGCACACAACACCACACCCAUCUCAUGCUUGUUCAGAAGAAUAAGGAUUCUUAACUGCACCUAUGUGUAGUUUAACAUAUAACACAAAUUCAGCUUUUUAUGGACAAAUGAAUGCAUGCAUGACAGUUUGAUCUUUUUCCUUCAUGUUUGGAACAUUGCCAAAUGUAUUCUGGUUGUGGUUUGGUAAGUGUACAAUGCAUUGGUAGAACUUUAAAAGCCUUUAAUUAUAAGACAGGGCUACAUAUUAAAAACGCGUAUCAGCCCAAGCAGGCCUUCAUCAGGGUGUUUGACAAUAGAGAGUGAGAAAUGGUUCAAUAGAUACACCUGUGACUAAACAUUUUCAAGAUCUAUCCACUAGACGUCUCUUUGGAGUUUAAGAGCUUUCUCUAAAUAAAUAGAGCUGUGAUUAUACAUUUUCAGGAUCUAACUACUAGAUGUCUCUUAGGUAUUUUUGAAAUACGGACUUCUCUAAAUGUGUUUGGACUUUGGCAGUGAGCUCCACGGGAGGAAAGAAGCGUGGGCCACACCACCUUGAGAAGAAUGGAGAAUACAGUAAGAGACUACAAGUUCACAUUAUAUCACUAAUACUUUCAUUUAAAUUACAACUAGACCAACUACCCUCCCACGUUUGUCAUUAAUUUCUAUCCACUAGACGUCUCUUUGGAGUUUAAGAGCUUUCUCUAAUAAAUAGAGCUGUGAUUAUACAUUUUCAGGAUCUAACUACUAGAUGUCUCUUAGGUAUUUUUGAAAUACGGACUUCUCUAAAUGUGUUUGGACUUUGGCAGUGAGCUCCACGGGAGGAAAGAAGCGUGGGCCACACCACCUUGAGAAGAAUGGAGAAUACAGUAAGAGACUACAAGUUCACAUUAUAUCACUAAUCUUUCAUUUAAAUCAACUGACCAACUCCCUCCAGUUUGCAUUAAUUGUAAAUGACUGUACAGCUUCUGUUGGGAGUGUUCUCAUACUUCCAAGCUAAAAGUCCAAAGGUAAAGGUAGCCAAGGUAAGUGGUCAUCUGACAUACUCAUAAAUGCACCUUAAGAGACACAUGAUCCAUGAUCAGCGUCCUCAGUGACGUGAGUAACCCAUCACUACAGCACUGACAGUCCUGAAGCACUACAGACCGUCCAGGAGCUCUCUGAUGUCCUGAUCCUCCAUCAUCUCAUCAGGAAUUCUGAAUCCAGUCCUCAGUGGGUUGAUGAUUUUGCUUUCCAUUUACCAUUGUUACAUCAUUUUCUUCUCAACGAAUUAAACAGUGUAUACAAGUAAAGAUUUUCAACUCAUUUCAUUAUAUGUAUAUUUCAUUAAUUGAGAUCCAAUGUGAGAGUGUUCCCUUCAUUUUUUUGAGCAGUGUAUUAUGAAUAGUAUUUUUGUUAUUUUCUGUUGGAUUAGCAACUUUGUUGUUUUUGUAUUAUUUGUUUAGUAGGAAUAUAUAGUGUUUAUUGCUUUUAAUUUUAGUUAUUUAAGCACUUGAGAAAUGGUGUCCUGGAAACUACCUGGAAUGAAAUGUUCUUUAUAUUUUAUUUCAGUUCAUGUUUAUUACAAGUAGUGAAAAAGUUUUUGUAAUGAUCAUGGUUUUAAAUAACUAUAAAAACUCUGCUUCUUAACUAGCUUUGGAUAAAACGGUCUGUUAACGAAUAACUUGGGCAUUAUUGAAAGGUGUGUCAUUAUUUCUUGUACUUUAUAGAAAUAAUUGCAAUAAUUAUUGUUUUAACUAUAAGUAAUCUUAUUUCAAUGAACUCUGCUCAGAUCUCGAAACACUCUUCAUUAACUGCAAGCCGUUCUAUUCGCCGCGGGAGUUUCACUCGUUCAUUCUGGUGAGUGUUUACUUCCCUCCGCAAGUGCACGUGUGCUUGGCUUUACAGAAACUACGCUGAUCAGAUCACAGAGACAGAACAACAACACCCAGAGACAGUAAUAUAU
rnacentral:lncRNA from 1 species